CUGAAACCUGUCAAAUAUAGUAAAAAUCUGAAAUGUAUCAAACCUCAUCAUAGAAUCUCUAUGGAUGAAAAUUCCAUGCUUGAAUAAUAAGAGUAGACCAGUAGGAAUAUACUUCUGACCAGGAUAGUGGUGAUUGUGAAAUGCUCCAGGGAGAUUAGAGAGGCUACACAAAACCCAAUAUCCCCAUAUUGACUGGGUGUAUGUAGCCUCAGGAAGGAAUGCAGAGAUAAAAAUUUCAAGAUACCACUAAUGACUGCUUCUUGGAGCAGCUAGUCCUGAAACCUACCAAGGAGAGGCAUUUAGUCUUAAGAGACUCACAGGAUUUGGUCCAAGAGGUGAAUGUAGCUGAACUGCUCAGUAAUAGUAACUCUAAGAUAAUUAAAUUUAACAUCUUUGAAGGGGAGAAGAUACCAAAGAAAUCCACCACAGUAGCAAUUGUCUUCAAAAGGGGGAACUUCAUAAAAAUGAGGAGGCUAGUUAAAUAGAAAUUAAAAAGAACAGUCACAAGAGUGGAAGGCCUGCAAGCUGUAUGAAAUCUUUAAAACCACCAUAGUAGAGGCUCAAAAUAAAUGUCUACCCCAGUUUAAAAAAAAAACAAAAAAACAG